rfam:Triticum urartu cultivar G1812 contig1173844, whole genome shotgun sequence.
UUUGUACUCCCUCCGUUCCAAAAUACUUGACUUCCAUUUGUCCAAAAAUGGAUGUACCUAUAUACUAAGACAUGUCUAGAUACAUAUAUAUUUUGACAAAUAGAAGGCAUGUAUUGUGCAACGGAGGGAGUAGAAU